rnacentral:rRNA from 1 species
UGGGGAAUUUUUCGCAAUGGGGGAAACCCUGACGAAGCAACGCCGCGUGGAGGAUGAAGGCCUUCGGGUCGUAAACUCCUGUCGACCGGGACGAAAGUGGUUCGACCUAAUACGUCGAGCCAUCGACUGUACCGGUGGAGGAAGCCACGGCUAACUCUGUGCCAGCAGCCGCGGUAAUACGUAGGGACCAAGCGUUGUUCGGAUUUACUGGGCGUAAAGGGCGCGUAGGCGGCAUGACAAGUCACUUGUGAAAUCUCUGGGCUUAACCCAGAACGGCCAAGUGAUACUGUCGCGCUAGAGUGCAGAAGGGGCAAUCGGAAUUCUUGGUGUAGCGGUGAAAUGCGUAGAUAUCAAGAGGAACACCUGAGGUGAAGACGGGUUGCUGGGCUGACACUGACGCUGAGGCGCGAAAGCCAGGGGAGCAAACGGGAUUAGAUACCCAUGUAGUCCCUGAGCGGGCUGGCAAGGCGCAU